GUUGUGCUUCAGCAUCAUUUUGUUAAUGCAUUUUAAAAAAAUGAUUAGAAUGGUAAUAUUCUCCAGUAACUUAUUUUGUUGAAAUUUUUAUUAUUCACGGUCAAGAUAAUUUGUUACUCAGCCAUGCCUAUAAUUUCUACGGUCUUUCAGCAUUGCGUUACUUUAGAUUGCUUCUUCAGGCUCAUCUCUAGAUGGAUUCCUAUGGGUACUUAUUUCGCAGUGCUUUUUAACUUGUACUGUAAUUUCUCAUCCCCAUUUAAAAAAUGGUUUUGUUUCUUGUCAGUCAUUUUCUGGUUUGUCAUUUACGCCCAAGAUAUCGUGCUUCAUUUCUCUUUAUUCUUCCUUUUCUGCCAGUAUAAUGGAAAAGAUGGCUUAGGGCACUGGCCAUACUCACAGUGUUUCCAACGCUGUGAUUAAAGAAUACCAUCUCUUACAGAGGAAAAUUCAUUAUUUGGUAGUCUGCAGACUGG